rnacentral:rRNA from 1 species
UACGUAGGUGGCGAGCGUUGUCCGGAUUUACUGGGCGUAAAGGAUGCGUAGGCGGAUAUUUAAGUGAGAUGUGAAAUACCCGAGCUUAACUUGGGUGCUGCAUUUCAAACUGGAUAUCUAGAGUGUGGGAGAGGAGAAUGGAAUUCCUAGUGUAGCGGUGAAAUGCGUAGAGAUUAGGAAGAACACCAGUGGCGAAGGCGAUUCUCUGGACCAUAACUGACGCUGAGGCAUGAAAGCUAGGGGAGCAAACAGG